rnacentral:rRNA from 1 species
UACGUAGGGUGCGAGCGUUAAUCGGAAUUACUGGGCGUAAAGUGUGCGCAGGCGGCCGCGCAAGUCGAGUGUGAAAGCCCCGGGCUUAACUUGGGAAUUGCGCUCGAAACUACGUGGCUGGAGUGUGGCAGAGGAAGGUGGAAUUCCAGGUGUAGCGGUGAAAUGCGUAGAGAUCUGGAGGAACACCGAUGGCGAAGGCAGCCUUCUGGGCCAACACUGACACUGAGGAGCGAAAGCCAGGGGAGCAAACGGG